CCCGCGGUCAGACGGAAAGACCCCGUGCACCUUUACUACAGCUUUGCAUUGGUGUUAGGGACGACAUGUGUAGGAUAGGUGGUAGGCUUUGAAACUUGGGCGCCAGCUCAGGUGGAGCCACCCUUGAAAUACCACCCUUGUCUUCUCUGGCAUCUAACCGCGGCCCGUUAUCCGGGUCCGGGACCCUGCAUGGUGGGUAGUUUGACUGGGGCGGUCGCCUCCUAAAGAGUAACGGAGGCGCGCGAAGGUGGGCUCAGAGCGGUCGGAAAUCGCUCGUUGAGUGCAAUGGCAUAAGCCUGCCUGACUGUGAGACUGACAGGUCGAACAGAGUCGAAAGACGGCCAUAGUGAUCCGGUGGUCCCGAGUGGAAGGGCCAUCGCUCAACGGAUAAAAGGUACUCCGGGG
rnacentral:rRNA from 1 species